CACAAUUAACUACCAAUUGUUCGCCAAACAACUACGAGCCAUACUUGAAACUUAAAAGACUUGACGGUACUUCAUCACGGCCUAGAGGAGCCUGUCCAAUAACCGACAAUCCACGAUUAACCCAGCCCCUCCUUGCCCAACAGUCUAUAUACCACCGUCGCCAGCUUACCUUGUAAAAGAAAUAAAGUGAGCUAGAUAGUACAACACUAAAACGACAGGUCGAGGUGUAACUUAUGAAGGGGACCAAGAUGGGCUACAUUCUCCAACCGAGAAUACGAAUAACACUAUGAAACUAAUGUUUGAAGGCGGAUUUAGCAGUAAGAUAAGAAUAAAACACUUGACUGAACACAACGCAAUGAAGUGCGUACACACCGCCCGUCAUCCCUGCCACCAC
rnacentral:rRNA from 1 species